ensembl:lncRNA
AUGUCAUGGAUGCACAGGCAUGAUUGUAAUCUGACCAGAAAGGAGAGCGAGGCAAGGCGACCGCCGGCGGAUCCGAGUCGGGGAGCCUCGGCAAUUGGGCUGCCGGCGGUGCGUGCGCGCACAGGUGCCUCGGGCCGGCGGCGCCGGGAGCUAGCGCAGCCGCCUCUCGGCCUCAGCACUCUCACCAGCGCGCCGAAGACCCGGCUGCGGCCGAGCCUGGCCACCCCCAGCCCAAGCCGCGGGAGGAAGAGCCCAAGGAAAGGGCGCGAAGGGGGAAGGAGGGGAGGGGAGGGGAGGGGAGGGGAGGGGAGGUGGGGGGGGGCGGGGAAGAGACCCUACUCCUCCUCGCCGAGAUCUCCUCCCCGAGCCCUUUUGGUGGGAACCUUGGCGGGGCUCGCGCGCCCCUCCCUCCCUCCUCCCCACUCUGGGAGUCCGUCUCCCCUCUCCCCUUGCUCCCCCCCACCUCCCUUCUCUUCCCUCCCUCCCUGCCGCGUGCCUCCUCCCCUCCCCCUCGUCUCCCUCCCUCGCAGCGGCGGCAGCAGUAGCCGCUUCAGCAGAGCCGGAGAUGGGCAGAGAGCGCGCGCGGCGCAGCAGCUCCGCAUACGCCGCCCUCCCCGCCCGCAGCUCCCCGCGCCCCCGCCGCCGCUGUCGCCGCCUCGGCGUCCCCCGGCUCCAGUCUCGCUCCUAGGACAGCGCCGCUGCCACCGCUCGGCCCUGCCCGCCGCCUGCGCCGCGCAGCUCUCAGGCGCGCCUGGAUGGCGCUUUCCACCCCGGACCGGUUUAGAAUGUAAUAAUUCAAGAAUUUUAUCAUCAAGUGGAAUAGCUUAACAACUGUCUAUGUGCUUCCCAUGAUAUGUUCUCUACAGUAAAAAAUUAUGACCUCAGCAUCCAAAGGAAUUCUCCGCCCAUUUUUAAUUGUCUGCAUUAUCCUGGCCUGCUUCAUGGUGUGUCUGUUCAUUUACAUCAAGCCCACCAACAGCUGGAUCUUCAGCCCGAUGGAGUCAGCCAGCUCAGUGCUGAAAAUGAAAAAUUUCUUCUCCACCAAAACUGGUGAUUUUAAUGAAACUACUAUUCUGAUUUGGGUGUGGCCAUUUGGGCAGACCUUUGACCUUACAUCUUGCCAAGCAAUGUUCAACAUCCAAGGAUGCCAUCUCACGACAGACCGUUCUCUGUACAACAAGUCUCACGCAGUUCUGAUCCACCACCGAGACAUCAGUUGGGAUCUGACCAAUUUACCUCAGCAGGCGAGGCCACCCUUCCAGAAAUGGAUUUGGAUGAAUUUGGAAUCACCGACUCACACACCACAGAAGAGUGGCAUUGAGCACCUGUUCAACCUGACUCUGACUUAUCGCCGUGACUCAGAUAUCCAAGUGCCUUAUGGUUUCUUGACCGUAAGCACAAACCCCUUCGUGUUUGAAGUGCCAAACAAAGAGAAGUUAGUGUGCUGGGUUGUAAGUAACUGGAACCCUGAGCAUGCCAGGGUCAAGUAUUACAAUGAGCUAAGCAAAAGCAUUGAAAUCCAUACCUAUGGGCAAGCAUUUGGAGAAUACGUGACUGAUAAAAAUUUGAUUCCUACCAUAUCUACUUGCAAAUUUUAUCUUUCCUUUGAAAACUCAAUCCACAAAGAUUACAUCACAGAAAAGCUCUACAAUGCUUUUCUGGCUGGCUCUGUGCCUGUUGUUUUGGGGCCAUCUAGGGAAAACUAUGAGAAUUAUAUUCCAGCAGAUUCAUUCAUUCAUGUGGAAGAUUAUAACUCUCCCAGUGAGCUAGCUAAGUAUCUGAAGGAAGUAGACAAAAACAAUAAAUUAUACCUUAGUUACUUUAACUGGAGGAAAGAUUUCACAGUAAAUCUUCCUCGAUUUUGGGAAUCACAUGCAUGCUUGGCUUGUGACCAUGUGAAAAGGCAUCAAGAGUAUAAAUCCGUUGGUAAUUUAGAGAAAUGGUUUUGGAAUUAAAGUUUUCCAUCAUAUACACAUUUGACAAAUCAUUUUGAUGAGAUAUUAUCCAGGUUUUAAGGAUGAGAAGAGACAUUAUUCUGCUUUUGUGUCAUAAUUUAUUUGUAUCACUCUCUCGGGUGACAUGUAUAUUUUGAUGGAGAUUUUUAAGAGUGCAGCAUCAGCAAUCACUCCACUUGGUUUUAAAUUAUCUUAUAUAUACCUAAUUAUGUGACCUGAAAAAUAAUUUAUUAUUCUCUAUCAUUUGUAAACCUCUUUUUUUUUUCAUAUUUUUGUUGUUAUCUCUAAUGUAACUGUGAUUUGAUUGUUGUUCCUAAACUGAUCAGUUGUUUCAUCCACUUGGUAAAUGAAGACACAUAUCUUCAAGUAUGAAAUAUUUUCAUUAAACAUUAUCAUCUCUAGUUCCCAGUUGGCAUAAUGAAGCAAAGGAAAAUCAAUUUGUAAUUGAAUUCUAACCUCUUUGACUUUGAAGUUGAACAAUGUAUAACUCUCUAUUUGAUCUGUUUUUCACCUGUUUGAUACGUUUGUGAAUGCAGAAUUAUUCAUGUAGUGAAUAAGCCAGAUAGUGGAGCAGAACUGUUCUAUUCAGGAAGCUAUUAGGCUUCUCGUUUAUUUUCAUUAAGUUGACUUGCAAAUGCAGUCACUUGUUCUCAUGAUAUUAAGCUAAAUUACUUAAGUAGUUUUAAAUAUCCAAUUUGGGGCAAUUUUUGGUGCCUGGGAAAUAAUCCUAGUAACACUUAAGAAAAGCUAAGAUAGUUUUCUUCCUGAUCUUAACACUCAUUAUUAUAAUAAAACAAAUAACCUCAUCAAAUGACAAGGGAAAAGGGUAAGUGUAGAUACAAGUCAUGUUUAUAAAUGGUACAUUUAUGUACAGUUUCUAACAUAUCAAUUUAAAAUAUUUUUUUCUAAAGGCCCAAUGUCUAAAACAUUUUCCCAUACCUAUGGACAUCUAAAUUGAAUAUUUGAGAUGUUUGUCCUAUUAUUUAAAAGAGCCUAAAUAAAAUUAGGGCUUCCCUGGUGGCUCAGAUGGUAAAGAAUCUGCCUGCAAUGUGGGAGACCUGGGUUUGAUCCCUGGGUUGGGAAGAUCUCCUGGAGAAUGGAAAGGCUACCCACUCCAGUAUUCUGGCCUAGAGAAUUCCAUGGACUGUAUAGUCCAUGGGGACACAAAGAGUCAUACACGACUGAGCAACUUGGCUAAAUAAAAUUUUCAUCAAGGUGUUAAGUAUAAAAUGUUAAACAUAAUAAAGUGGGAGUCAAUAGGGAACACAUGCUAACACAAAAUGAGACUUCAAUGCAUAUUUGUUGAGUUAAUAAAUGGAUGACAUUUAAUGUCAUCAGAAAAGCUUUGCUUAUUCCAAUAAAGUGACAGCUCUAGUCUAGAGUUUCUAACUUGAGAUGAUGUUUUAUAUCCAUUUUUGUAAUUAUCCAUAAAUGGCAAUAUGACCAUCACCCUCAGGGUUUUACAGAACCUGAGUAAACUUUCAUUACACUAAGUUUUUAGAGAAUUCACCCCUGAACUUGCAGUUGCUAUACAGUGUUUCUCCUCCAUACAGUUAAGGGCUGGAUAUAAGCAGAGAACAGUAGAUGUGAAAUGAUGGGACUCUAGGGAUUCUCAAAUAAACCAUUUCCCAAAAGAAUCUUUAAUGACUUUAUUCCAGUCAGACCAAAAACCCAUCAAAAGUGUUAGAAUGUACUAAUGACAUCUAUUUGAGUCUGUUUGUGGAUUAUUCUUAUAGUCCUCUAUAUCAAUAGAACUCAAAUCCACAAUUUUCUACAUCAAAUGUAAGCUAGACAGAGAGGCAAAUUUGGAUUCAGAAAGCAGGAGUUUAUGUCCAACAAUCCAGGCUGCCUUCUGAGGAAAGGAGCUCUCAGUACCACUAGAAGGAUUUGAACAGAGGAAAAUUACUGCAUUGGUUGAAGGACUGUUUGAUCUUCAGGUUCAUUCCUUUACCCAUGAUUGAACAGGCUCCUUGUGUCAGGCAAGGCCCUGACCAGAGAAAAGAUGAACAAGGUACCAUCACUGCCUUAAAGAAACUUACAUUAAGUCGAGAGAUAAGGAAAACUUCCUUUGAGUCUAUGUUUAGGCACAUAUACUCUGAAUGAAAUUUAUAUGAGUCACUGCUGACUUAAUGAAAAUAAGAUAAUAAAUUUCUCCAACUGAUUAGCUAUUUGGCCAGUUUAUGAGCCACAGACUUUGUUUAUUCAUUUGACCCAAUGGAAGAUGCCUGUCAUAUUAUCUCUUAUAACUGGAUAGCAUCCAGAAAUGGCAUGUCUGUGUAGGUGCCCUCGUAGAUAAGGAAAAAUUUCCACCCUCAUUUAUUUCAUCAUGUUCAAAUAGAUCAAACAUUUAUGUUUACAUUGUUAUCUUUUUGACCUACUAAAAAGUGUAGGGAUCUAAAAAGAAUGCAUUACUAACAAAUUUAGAAAUAUCUACUUUCUUCAAAAGCAGAAAAGCAUUCAAUAAAAAGCCUUUACUGCCUUGGAUGCUCAUGAUUGCAAAGAACCAAGAAACCUGAGGGCAGUACCCUUAUUGUUAACUAUGAGUUUGGUCUCUUUCUCAGUCUGAGACUAUAAUUACAUUCUGAUAAUAUGGCUCAAGCUAAGGCAAUAAUACUAAGUGACUAACUAGCACAUCUGUAUAUUAAAAAUCCAUUCUCAAGUCUCCAAAGAAUAAGUUUUCUUAAUUUGAAGUGCCAAAAAUGAAUGAAAACUUCAGUUCUAGGUCCAUUGAUCAGUGAGUUUUAGGACUGGAAGUAAUUAUAGCAAUGUUUACAAGCAAAUCCCUUCAUUCUACUUAUGAGGUAACUAGAUUCAAAGAUAAUAUUUAUUUAAGACAUAUGUUCACAUACUACACACACACACACACACACACACACACACAUACACACACACAAACACCCCACAGCUAUAUUGACAUAGCCAAGAUUAGAAUUUCAGAGUACUAUCUCCCUCAGUUUUGUGUUCUUUUUUCAUCAUAUUCUUACCUUAUCACUGAAGUACAUCUCAAUUCUAAAAAUGUGACUAUCUUAUUGGAAUUAUUAGGGGUUUUAAAUGUUAUACUCUGUGUGGAAGCAUUUUGACUUAAAAAAUAUAUACAUAUGGUCAAUACAACAUGAAACUUGUUAGCAUUCUUUCUGGCUUAAGUAUCUUAGGAGUUGAGCAGAAGGAAGUAGGCUUUCACUACAUUUUAAGUGAAAUGCAACCUUCAAGAUGGUGACUAUUUCUUUGCUACUUCUUUAAUAAAUCCUGUGGAUUACAAUUCUUUUUAAGGUUAUCUCAUGGUGAAAGAUAAAGAUUUGGCAAAACUGCUGGUUAUAAAAACAAACUUGCCAGGAGGUAAACUGUG